rnacentral:rRNA from 1 species
GAACGCUAGCUACAGGCUUAACACAUGCAAGUCGAGGGGCAGCAUCAUCAAAGCUUGCUUUGAUGGAUGGCGACCGGCGCACGGGUGAGUAACACGUAUCCAACCUGCCGACAACACUGGGAUAGCCUUUCGAAAGAAAGAUUAAUACCGGAUGGCAUAGUUUUCCCGCAUGGGAUAAUUAUUAAAGAAUUUCGGUUGUCGAUGGGGAUGCGUUCCAUUAGGCAGUUGGCGGGGUAACGGCCCACCAAACCAACGAUGGAUAGGGGUUCUGAGAGAAAGGUCCCCCACAUUGGGACUGAGACACGGUCCAAACUCCUACGGGAGGCAGCAGUGAGGAAUAUUGGUCAAUGGACGAGAGUCUGAACCAGCCAAGUAGCGUGAAGGAUGACUGCCCUAUGGGUUGUAAACUUCUUUUAUACGGGAAUAAAGUGAGCCACGUGUGGCUUUUUGUAUGUACCGUAUGAAUAAGGAUCGGCUAACUCCGUGCCAGCAGCCGCGGUAAUACGGAGGAUCCGAGCGUUAUCCGGAUUUAUUGGGUUUAAAGGGAGCGUAGGCGGGUUGUUAAGUCAGUUGUGAAAGUUUGCGGCUCAACCGUAAAAUUGCAGUUGAUACUGGCGACCUUGAGUGCAACAGAGGUAGGCGGAAUUCGUGGUGUAGCGGUGAAAUGCUUAGAUAUCACGAAGAACUCCGAUUGCGAAGGCAGCUUACUGGAUUGUAACUGACGCUGAUGCUCGAAAGUGUGGGUAUCAAACAGGAUUAGAUACCCUGGUAGUCCACACAGUAAACGAUGAAUACUCGCUGUUGGCG